rnacentral:sRNA from 1 species
AAAAAAUUAUAAGUUUUGUGGCGAGGACAGUGCACAGAAAUAUGGUGAUGCAUUGUGUAGACGGAGUGACUUAUCCGAACAGAAUUGCAUCGCAUUCCAUUCGAUUCCAGUUGAGACUGCUGCAGCUGAGGAGGCCGACAGAUGAGCACCUGGAAAAUUCUGUAUUUCUCAUCUGAGCUGAAAAUCCGCUGUGACUGGAUAUGCAUUUGCCAUAUGCUUAAUGAGCAGGCUAUGGGGCGUGUGCUCGACUCGAUGGAUCGUAUAAGAGAAGAUUAGGCGCUGUGAAAUUCCGAUGUUUUAUUAUCUACCACAUGCAAUAGAAGAAAGCUUCACUGCAUCCGAAAAUUUGGGAAGUGAUGGAAUAAUGACACUAAUACUAAACUGUGGACUCUGUUAGGCGCUUUGGCAAACUGCUUGAAGUAUGAGGCCAAAUACUGCAGCUGCUGUUUUUUAAAUAACAUUGACGGUACUCGAU